rnacentral:rRNA from 1 species
AUGUAUAGGCCGAAGAUCUCCAAUUCGGGGUGGGCUGCUUUCGAUCGCAGGUUGCGUGGCACAGCUGAUGCAGGCGAUGAUGUUGAUGUCAACUCAUUUCCUGCUCUCUCGGGUUCUAGAGGCUCCAGUUCUGCCAGCAGCUCAGCUAUAGGAAAUAAUAAUAUGCCAAAGGCAAAGCCUUUUGCAUCAGUGAUUCGCCCCCCUGUUGAAUUUGCAGUUGUUGGUAAUGAAAACGGAAAUAGGCAUUUGACUGAUCACAUGGUGAGAACAAAUUCUGGUGUAAACUCUGCAUCUGGUAACAAAAUUAAGCUCCUGAAGGAUGCUCAUAGUUGGGCCGACAGUAAUUUAAUUGAGGACAUAUUGGCUGGCGUGGAUAAUGAUGUUGGCCAGGCAUCUGUUUUGCUGAAAUCCAUGGUCGCUCCUGACUUUAUGCCAAGGGGGGAUAGAACAACUGGUCAACCUCCUUUUGAGAUGAAUAAAGCACAUGGUUCAGUGUCAGGAAACACUAUAGCAGAGAAUAAACAUUCAAAUGAAUCACAACUGUUGCCACCGCAAAUGAAUUUAAUCUCUAUACCCCAGGAGCCUGAAUUAGAAGAGUUUGAUGAUGAUUACUUAAACCACCGGAAAGAUGCAUUGAAGAUGAUGAGGGCUGCCACAAAGCAUUCUCAGGCUGCCAGCAAUGCAUUCUUCAGAGGUGACCAUGCUGCUGCCAAGGAACUCUCCCUCAGAGCUCAAGAAGAGUGGUUGGCUGCUGAAAAGUUAAAUAAUAAGGCAGCAGAAGAAAUAUUUCAUCUCAGGAACAGCAACAAUAACAUUUGGAAGAUAGACAUGCAUGGUCUACAUGCAUCAGAGGCUGUAACUGCAUUGGAGAGGCAUCUUCACAUGUUAGAGUUCCAGCCACCAGGGAAUAAUCCAACUUCAACUGAUGAAUUAGAUAAGUCUGAACCCACAAUUGCUGUCCCAAAUGAGGUGGCAGCAGAGAAAGUGGUGGUGUUUCUUCGCCCUAGACAGUCUGUCUUAGAGGUGAUCACAGGGAUUGGCAGGCACAGCAAAGGACAGGCUUCACUGCCUGCUGCAGUCAGGGGCUUCCUUAUUGAAAAUGGGUACCGAUUUGAGGAGCUGAGGCCUGGUGUUUUCUCUGUCCGCCCUAAAUUUCGCCGCGGGUAA